rnacentral:rRNA from 1 species
CCUACGGGAGGCAGCAGUGGGGAAUAUUGGACAAUGGGGGCAACCCUGAUCCAGCCAUGCCGCGUGUGUGAAGAAGGCCCUCGGGUUGUAAAGCACUUUCAGUGAGGAAGAACGCCUGGUGGUUAAUACCCAUCAGGAAAGACAUCACUCACAGAAGAAGCACCGGCUAACUCCGUGCCAGCAGCCGCGGUAAUACGGAGGGUGCGAGCGUUAAUCGGAAUUACUGGGCGUAAAGCGCGCGUAGGUGGCUUGAUAAGCCGGUUGUGAAAGCCCCGGGAUCAACCUGGGAACGGCAUCCGGAACUGUCAAGCUAGAGUGCAGGAGAGGAAGGUAGAAUUCCCGGUGUAGCGGUGAAAUGCGUAGAGAUCGGGAGGAAUACCAGUGGCGAAGGCGGCCUUCUGGACUGACACUGACACUGAGGUGCGAAAGCGUGGGUAGCAAACAGGAUUAGAUACCCUGGUAGUC